CUGAAGUGAUCUGCCCACCUCGGCUUCCCAAAGUGCUGGGACUGCAGGUGUGAGCCACUGCGCCUGGCCCCUUCAGGUGGGUUUUGAGGCUUCACGUUGCUGCUGCAAUAAAUUACCACACACUUAGUGGCUUAAAACAGCACAGAGGUAUUCCCUUACAUUUCUGAAGGCCAGAAUUCUAAAAUCAGUCCCACUGAGUCAAGGUGGGAGCAGGGUCAGUGCCUUCCCAGGCUCUGCGGGAGAAUCUGUUUCCUGGCCCUGGAGGCGGCCUGUACUCCUUAGCUUGUGCUGCCCUUCUGGAAUGACUCGAGUUUCCUGCUUUCAUCACUACACCUCCCACCGCUCUCCAUCACCUGCUGUGCUCUUACGAGGAUCCAGCUGAGACAUGUUUUAGGAAGUUUGCUAAAAGACCCCUGGAGACGUCCUCAUUGUGGCCUCCCUGCUGUUGUGUUUAAUUUGGUUGAUCUUCUCUGCCCUCCUGCUUUUCAGAAUUAAAAGGCUAAAAAGAGUUUUCAGAGAAAUGGAAUAAUUGUAUUGCUGAUCUACGUAAACAAGUUGAAGAAUUGUCUGAAAGAAAAUAUGGUGUGUCUGAACUGGAAAAGUCCUGUGAUAGUUUGUUCAUGAGCAUUUACACAAUGGAGUUACUGUUCAUCAUGGGGGUACUGUGGACAAGCCCAGGGCUGCUGACAUAAUCUUAUGAAUUCAACACAUGAAGAUUUACAACUUGAUAAACCAGCUUCAGGAGAUCAGAACUUCUUACAAUACAACUGAUGUUACUCAGCCUAGAACAAAUACAACAGGGAUUGUGCUGCAUUCUGACUUAGGUUCUGCCAUCGAACACAGAAUGCCCUGAUCCUUAGAGGCAGAGGCAGCUCUUCAGCCUAUGGGAAAACUGUGGAUUUAGUUACUCCACUCUGCCAUGUCCUUCCACCACUGCCUGCACAUUUGAGACCAAGGAUAGAGAUUGGGAAAAAUCCAUAGUUCUCCUGACUCAGAGUUUGGCUCCGGCACUCUCAUUUCAGCCAUAGCUGCAGACAAAGCACACGACUGCUGGGCACUGUGGCUCAAGAGAAGGGGGAGAUGCAGGAAGAAGAUGAGCCUUAAGUCUGAACACUGAGGAAUUCAUGUGCAUCAGUCAGACCUCCUGUGCAAGGAAGGAUGUGGUUACUACGGCAACCCUGCCUGGCAGGGUUUCUGCUCCAAGUGCUGGAGGGAAGAGUACCACAAAGCCAGGCAGAAGGAGAUUCAGGAGGACUGGGAGCUGGCGGAGCGACUCCAGUGGGAGGAAGAGGCCUUUGCCAGCAGUCAGAGCAGCCAAGGGGCCCAAUCCCUCACAUUCUCCAAGUUUGAAGGAAAGAAAACCAACGAGAAGACCCACGAGGUUACCACAGUGAAGAAAUCUUCAGUGCGUCUUCCAGGGUCGGAUCAAAGAAGGCAGAAAUUCAGGAAGCAAAAGCCAGUCCUUCCAUAAACCGGCGAACCAGCAUUGAAACGGAUAGAGUGUCUAAGGAGUUCAUAGAAUUUCUCAAGACCUUCCACAAGACAGGCCAAGAAAUCUAUAAACAGACCAAGCUGUUUUUGGAAGGGAUGCAUUACAAAAGGUGCCUCCAGAAAGGGUUGAGAAGAUAAUGGAUCAGAUUGAAAAGUACAUCAUGACUCAUCUCUGUAAAUAUGCGUUCUGUCCAGAACCCCAGUGAGCCUGGAAGACUGGGUGCUAUGGGAAAUGUCAUCAAUCCAAUGCUAGUGAAAGAUGUGACUGGGGAAUGCUGAAAAAUGCGCACCCCUGGGAGGAAUGAGGAAAGAUGACAUCCACUGACUUGUUAUUUUUUUGAGAAGGAGUCUUGCUCUGUUGCCCAGGCUGGAGUGUGGUGGCACGAUCUCGGCUCACUGAUGAUGAGAAGAAAGAUCUUGCCAUUCAAAAGAGGAUCAGAGUGGAAGCUUCUCUGUGGUGUCAGAAAGACGAGGAAUGUGGUGACCUCACCUAUCCAUCUCCCUCAAGGCAGCUUUUGUUUUUCUGCAGUGACCGUACUUGCAAUAAUUAAACAUAGUUGGUCAUUUAAAAUACAUCUCUGAUACUCUCGUCAAAGGUGGAGCCCAGUCCCUAUCGCCUUGAGUGAGGGCUGGGUUACGUGAUUCCCUUCUGACAGAUAGGAAAAAGCAAAAGUGAUGGCUUGCAACUUUGCAAACUACAUCAUAAAAGGUACUGUGGCUUCCUCCUUGCUCACUCUUUGAUUACUCACUUGGGAAAGCCAGCUGUCACACCAUGACACCUAAGCAGCCUGUAGAGAGGCUCAUGUAACAGGAACUGAGGCCUCCUGUCAGCAGUCACAUGAGGGAGCCAUCUUGGAAACAGGCUUUAGGUGACUGCAGUCUCAGUGGACAGCUUGAGUGCAAUGUCAUGAGACACCCUGAGCCCAAAUGACCCAGCUAUGCCACUCCUGAAUUCCUGACCCACAGAAAUGGAGAUCCUAACUUAAGUUCUUGGACUCACUGAGGCAGUAAAAGAACCAUAUCCUGUGUUUGAAUCAAAUCCCAAGUUCCUGUACGUAGAAGGUUUGCCAGACAGGAUUCCCUUUCGAAGCCCUCCUGGUUUGGAAUUCCAUGACUUGAAAGGAUCGUCCAUGGGAGUAAUAAAAUCAAAUUUGUUGGUAAAAAACCUGAACUGGUUAUUUCCUACUUGCCUCCUGGAGUUGCUAAUAAAAUAAACACUAAAGCUUCGCAGUUUCUAAAAAGACCAUGAAGCCCUGAGAGUAAUGAAAAGGUUCCUGAAAUUGAGGUCACUGUGGAAGAUCAGAGGAUCAGAGAUCUCUCCUCAACACGAGGUGCCAUCCUUUCCUGAAGGAGCUCCUUGUAAAGUGCAUGAGGUGUUCCUUUUGGUAAAAAGACACACUGCGCGACCGCAGAGACCUGAGCCUGAACCUAUAAAGAUCUGAACAAGCUGAGGCACAUGCCUUGGGAGCUAAGUGGCUGCUGCACUUGACCACUAUGAAGACUGGUGUGGGAAGAAUCCUUUUGGAUGCACUUGCAGGGGCCCCUAAUCCCUGGGUCACAGGACUAUAAUGGGCUACAUGGCAGGAGGAGAAUCUAAUGCCUGAUGAUCUGUCACUAUCUCCCAUCACCCCCAGAUGGGACCAUCUAGUUGCAGGAAAAGAAGGUCAAGACUCCCAGUCAUUCUACAUUAUGCCUCAGCCAAGAUGUCUCACCCCACUCUCUCUGAUGCAACAAGAAGCCCCUGGAGAACGUUUCAGUCCCAUUUUGUACUUCUGUCAUGUGCUCAUCACAGUCUGGUGGAAUUUAAAUGACCUCUUAUCAAGAUGGAUAAACCCAAGUUUCCCAGUGCUGGAAUAUAGAAAAUGGAUGGACAAGUAAGUCCCACUCAGCACCCAUAGCCCAGACAUGGGGACCUCAACACACCUGGGCCCCAGACAUCACCUUUCAUUCCGAGGCAUAUGCCAUUCAAGCUAAGGGUGCUACACUUGACCACUGCGGCAGUAUAGAUGAGUCUGAAGAAUGGUAUGGGAUGGAUACUUACGAAUGCACUCGAGCAGGGGUCUCCAUCCACAGGGCCACAGAGCCAGAGGUGAGCAGCAGCUGGAUCUACCAUGAAAGACUUCAGAGUCCAGGAAGAGAGACUGAUUGGGCAACAUGUUAUUCAGUUACAAAAAGACUUGGACUAUGACUCAAAAAUGAUCAAAUAAUAGUGCAUGCAUCCAAUGCAAUAAGAAGCACUUCUGGAGGGUGAGAGAAGCAUCCAGUUAAGGUGACAUUGAAGCUGGGUCCUGAAAGAUGAGGAAGAAUUGUAUGAGAGUGGGCAGAGAAGGGGGAGGUGGAGGGAUGGGGAAUGGGCUGAGAUGGAGUGAGCUGCUCAAGCAGGGAAACCAGCACUGUAAAGACCUGGUCAAUAAAGAUGGCACAUUUUAUUCAGGGAAUGGUGAAUUAAUUGUGGCAGGAAUGCUUUGGAGAGAGAGUAAUUUGCUUGUAUGGAAUUUUGCCCAAGAGACCUCAUUACAGUUUCUAAUCUUUUGAUGUUAUCGUCUAUCACUGUCCUUGUCAGAUAGUUUGGAAUAGGUAUAAUGAUCACAAUAACAUCAAGCAUAAUAUUUCAUUAAUUCUCACAAAAUCACAGGUAGGUGCCACAGUUAUCCCCAUUUUGUGAAUGAAGUGAUGAAGACUUAGGAAUGAUGAGUGAUUGCCCAAGCUCACCUGGAUAUUAAGAGGUCUUGCUCUGUUGUCCAGGCUGGAAUGUGGUAGUGCUAU
rnacentral:lncRNA from 1 species